UCAAGCGACUAAGUGUAUGUGGUGGAUGCCUUGGCGAUUACAGGCGAAGAAGGACGUCGCAGCCUGCGAAAAGCCGUGGGGAGCUGGCAAGCGAGCACUGAUCCACGGAUGUCCGAAUGAGGGAACUCACCCGCAAGGGUAUCUUGAAGUGAAUACAUAGCUUCAAGAGGCGAACGCAGCGAACUGAAACAUCUAAGUAGCUGCAGGAAAAGAAAUCAACCGAGAUUCUGAAAGUAGCGGCGAGCGAAAUUGGAAGAGCCUGCAAGUGAUAUUGAAUUCGAUACUGGAACGGUCUGGAAAGUCCGGCUACAGAGGGUGAUAGCCCCGUACGGGAAAUUGGGUUCAAGGUACUGAGCUUGCGAGAAGUAGAGCGGGACACGUGAAAUCCUGCUCGAAGAUGGGGGGACCAUCCUCCAAGGCUAAAUACUCGUAAUCGACCGAUAGCGAACCAGUACUGUGAAGGAAAGGCGAAAAGAACCCCGGGAGGGGAGUGAAAUAGAUCCUGAAACCGCAUACAUACAAACAGUAGGAGCCCGCAAGGGUGACUGCGUACCUUUUGCAUAAUGGGUCAGCGACUUACGUUCAAUGGCAAGCUUAACCGAGUAGGGGAGGCGCAGCGAAAGCGAGUCCGAACAGGGCGAUAUGAGUCGUUGGGCGUAGACCCGAAACCAGAUGAUCUAUCCAUGGCCAGGCUGAAGGUGUGGUAACACACACUGGAGGGCCGAACCGACUAGUGUUGCAAAAUUAGCGGAUGAGCUGUGGAUAGGGGUGAAAGGCUAAACAAAUCUGGAGAUAGCUGGUUCUCCCCGAAAACUAUUGAGGUAGUGCCUCGUGUAUGGCUCCAGGGGGUAGAGCACUGUUAUGGCUAGGGGGACAUGGCGUCUUACCAAACCAUGGCAAACUCCGAAUACUUGGAAGUCUGAGCACGGGAGACAGAGCACCGGGUGCUAACGUCCGGACUCAAAAGGGAAACAACCCAGACCGCCGGCUAAGGUCCCUAAUAUUGACUAAGUGGAAAACGAAGUGGGAAGGCUAAGACAGUCAGGAAGUUGGCUUAGAAGCAGCCAUCCUUCAAAGAAAGCGUAAUAGCUCACUGAUCGAGUCUUCCUGCGCGGAAGAUGUAACGGGGCUAAGUCAAUAACCGAAGCCGCGGAUUCGCAGCAAUGCGAGUGGUAGGGGAGCGUUCUGUAAGCCUGCGAAGGCGGAUCCGCGAGGACCGCUGGAGGUAUCAGAAGUGCGAAUGCUGACAUGAGUAACGUUAAAGCGGGUGAAAAGCCCGCUCGCCGCAAGCCCAAGGUUUCCUGCUCUACGUUCAUCGGAGCAGGGUGAGUCGGCCCCUAAGGUCAGGCUGAGAAGCGUAGCUGAUGGGAAGCUGGUUAAUAUUCCAGCACCGAUUUCAAGUGCGAAGGGGGGACGGAGUCCUGAAGGUCAUCCGGGUGUUGGAUAUCCCGGUUUACGAGCGUAGGAGGUUGACAGGCAAAUCCGUCAACGAAUCUCCAAGGCGAAGGAUCGAGGUUGAGAGAUCAACUGAAGUGACUGAAUGGGCUUCCAGGAAAAGCCUCUAAGCAUCAGCUUGGAAUUGACCGUACCGCAAACCGACACUGGUGGGCGAGCUGAAUAUGCUCAGGCGCUUGAGAGAACUCAGGAGAAGGAACUCGGCAAAUUGACACCGUAACUUCGGGAUAAGGUGUGCCUUUGUAGUGUGAAGAGAGAAACACUCCGAGCAUGAAGAGGCCUCAGAGAAUCGGUGGCUGCAACUGUUUACUAAAAACACAGCACUCUGCAAAGAUGAAAGUCGACGUAUAGGGUGUGAUGCCUGCCCGGUGCUGGAAGAUUAAUUGAUGGGGUGCAAGCUCCUGAUCGAAGUCCCAGUAAACGGCGGCCGUAACUAUAACGGUCCUAAGGUAGCGAAAUUCCUUGUC
rnacentral:rRNA from 1 species